UCACGAUCUCUUUCUCCUUUUUCAGACGCCUCUUGUCCCUUUCUUCUUCCCAAAAUCGCAAAGGUCAAUAGUAAGAGCCCUAAUUUCUUCAUCCGCCCAUCACCUUUGUCAGUUCCUCUCCUUAUUUUCAAAGGUUACAGACCUCGGAACAAGAUUUGUUGACUUUGGCUGAGAGAAAUCUCACCUAAAUCUGAUGUGGAUCAAGAAAUAUCACAUCGAACCCAGAUUUUCAGGGCUUUCGUCGGAGUUCUUUUUCACGUGGUGGUGAAAUAGUUCGUUUCAACUCGUCAUCUCAAGUUCGGUGCCCAUAACCAGGUACUCCGCUUCUGCUAUCUCUUUAAAUUCCCGAUUUUGCUUUGUGUUUGUUUUAAGUAUUUUAGUUGUUUUUUAUUUAGUCACUGCUUAACAUGUAGAUUAAUGGGUAAAUGCCAUAUAGCUUACUGUUUUUUUUCUUAUUUAGAUUUUUCCAGCUCAUAUUUAUUUCCUGUCGUUUGUUAGAAUUCAACUUUUGGGUACUGCAUUCUUAGUUUCGUUUUCCUGCAUUCUGUUCGCUCAAGUGUAAUUCCCCAUCCCUUUUAUCUAAAUCACAUGUUUAAGCUCUCAUUGAUAUGUUUAGUUGUACACAUUUAAAUAUUGGUAUCAUGGAAGAAAUCAGCUUAAUUCCGAAGUUCUGCUGGCUUUAUUUUCCACAUAAUUGAGAGAAUUUAAACGUUUGUUUCUUACCAUUAGUUGGCUUUCAUUCCAACUCGAAUAUAUCUGAAAAUGGUAAUCAGGCACUGUUUAGAGGUUGUUUUCAUGUCCAAACAAAAAGCAUCUCUUUGUUUUCCAAUGGAUGACUUUGGUUUCAAUUUUAAGAAGUAAAACUAGUAGGAAUCUUAAGACUUUUUGCUUAAAAUCUGUUCUCCUACUGCCAACGGGUUAACUCCUGUUUAUAUCCCUGAAUCUGCUGAUUUUGGUAGUGAAUUUCAAGUUAUUUCCAUUAGUUUUCUUCCAAGAUCUUUGUUUUAUCUUGGUCUAUAUUUAGCUACUGCCUAUAACAUUUUGCCUAGAGCUUCCCACUCUUUUACGUCACCAAUAAAUAAACUGAUCUAAAACUAAUUAGUAUGUCCUCGGGUUAUUUCUAGGAUCUAACUGAAGUGUCAUGUCCUUCAUUAUUAACCAUGUACUACAUUAGUUGUUUAUUUCCAAAACAGUAGUUUAGAUUUCUAUCUAAAUACUUCAUGAUAUUGUAGAAUCUCUUUAUAGGUGUGGUUGACUAGCUUGUUAAUUGAUUUAAAGAAUCCAGUAGCUAUUCAAAUCUGUGUGAUUAGGACUUUAACAUUACCAUGGAUCUUACAAGUAUGUCUAAUAAUUAUCUAAUGCAUGUCUUCUUUGUGAUCCAUCCUUAAAGAUCCCUAAAUUGUCAAAAUUAUAUCGUUACUAGCUCGCUUUGCACCAUUAGCUCUAUUCUACAGAGAUAUAUAGACCAUGAUCCGUGAUUGCAGAGUAUUGGGUUAGACUCUUUAGUCACCAUUUGACCCCUUAAAAGACUUUAGGAAUGGUAAAGGUUAUUUAUUUAGAUGUAUUUUUAUUUUUAGCUUAAAGAUCCUAAAAUAUUUAUGUACUUCCCCUGUGUUCUCCUACUGUUUUGAAAUCUCCAUAUAGCACUGACUUUGUUUAGAUAGCCUUAAGAGAUUAGUGCUAUUAUCCUUAGUAUUUUAAUAUGAUUAAAUCAUUACUGAUGGAUUUAUCACAGUGAUGUAUCCACUAUUUUGUUUAGAAGUGACUGUUGAUUUUAUUGUAUAUGAGGAAAACAUUUAUUUUAUCUUGUUUUGUUAGUUCAUUCUCGCCACUAAUUUCUUACUUCUCUUAUGCAUGAACUCCCUUUGAACGAGUCCAAUGGACUCCAUCUUCACCCUUUCCUUCAUCUUCGAGUCAAUCUUCAUCAAGUCGUUAAAAGGGAAGCAAAUAUUCGGGUUAAAACCCAAGUCACACAAUGCUAAAUUGCAGCAGCCUCAAAGGGCUGGAAACGCAGAUUACAAGUCCCAAAAGCCUAAGAAAUGGGUUGUAUACAUAUUGUAUACAGCAGUAUACGUUCGUCAUACAGUGAACUAUAGUUCAAAAAUGCGAAAAUACAGAGAUGAGAUAAAAUACAGGUGUUCGAAAGCAAGAAAUACAUGAAAGGGCUGAUAUACAUGCCGAUAUACACUGAUAUACAUCAGCUGUAUACCAAAAACGGGAUUGAGUAAAUCCCCAGAAAUUACAGCGAAAUUGGCCUAAAAAGGAGGCCCAAAUUCUAUUUCUAACUUAUUUAACUGUGUGAUUAUUUAUUUAUUUGUUUUUUUU